AGAGUUUGAUCCUGGCUCAGGAUGAACGCUAGCUACAGGCUUAACACAUGCAAGUCGAGGGGCAGCAUGAACUUAGCUUGCUAAGUUUGAUGGCGACCGGCGCACGGGUGAGUAACACGUAUCCAACCUGCCGAUGACUCGGGGAUAGCCUUUCGAAAGAAAGAUUAAUACCCGAUGGCAUAGUUCUUCCGCAUGGUAGAACUAUUAAAGAAUUUCGGUCAUCGAUGGGGAUGCGUUCCAUUAGGUUGUUGGCGGGGUAACGGCCCACCAAGCCUUCGAUGGAUAGGGGUUCUGAGAGGAAGGUCCCCCACAUUGGAACUGAGACACGGUCCAAACUCCUACGGGAGGCAGCAGUGAGGAAUAUUGGUCAAUGGGCGAGAGCCUGAACCAGCCAAGUAGCGUGAAGGAUGACUGCCCUAUGGGUUGUAAACUUCUUUUAUACGGGAAUAAAGUGAGCCACGUGUGGCUUUUUGUAUGUACCGUAUGAAUAAGGAUCGGCUAACUCCGUGCCAGCAGCCGCGGUAAUACGGAGGAUCCGAGCGUUAUCCGGAUUUAUUGGGUUUAAAGGGAGCGUAGGCGGACGCUUAAGUCAGUUGUGAAAGUUUGCGGCUCAACCGUAAAAUUGCAGUUGAUACUGGGUGUCUUGAGUACAGUAGAGGCAGGCGGAAUUCGUGGUGUAGCGGUGAAAUGCUUAGAUAUCACGAAGAACUCCGAUUGCGAAGGCAGCUUGCUGGACUGUAACUGACGCUGAUGCUCGAAAGUGUGGGUAUCAAACAGGAUUAGAUACCCUGGUAGUCCACACAGUAAACGAUGAAUACUCGCUGUUUGCGAUAUACAGUAAGCGGCCAAGCGAAAGCGUUAAGUAUUCCACCUGGGGAGUACGCCGGCAACGGUGAAACUCAAAGGAAU
rnacentral:rRNA from 1 species